rnacentral:rRNA from 1 species
AACGAACGCUGGCGGCAGGCUUAACACAUGCAAGUCGAGCGCCCCGCAAGGGGAGCGGCAGACGGGUGAGUAACGCGUGGGAAUCUACCCAUCUCUACGGAAUAACGCAUGGAAACGUGUGCUAAUACCGUAUACGUCCUUCGGGAGAAAGAUUUAUCGGAGAUGGAUGAGCCCGCGUUGGAUUAGCUAGUUGGUGGGGUAAAGGCCUACCAAGGCGACGAUCCAUAGCUGGUCUGAGAGGAUGAUCAGCCACACUGGGACUGAGACACGGCCCAGACUCCUACGGGAGGCAGCAGUGGGCAAUAUUGGACGAUGGGCGCAAGCCUGAUCCAGCCAUGCCUCGUGAGUGAUGAAGGCCCUAGGGUUGUAAAGCUCUUUCACCGGUGAAGAUAAUGACGGAAACCGGAGAAGAAGCCCCGGCUAACUUCGUGCCAGCAGCCGCCGUAACAC